rnacentral:rRNA from 1 species
UACGGGGGGGGCAAGCGUUGUUCGGAAUUACUGGGCGUAAAGGGCUCGUAGGUGGCCAACUAAGUCAGACGUGAAAUCCCUCGGCUUAACCCGGGAACUGCGUCUGAUACUGGAUGGCUUGAGUUUGGGAGAGGGACGCGGAAUUCCAGGUGUAGCGGUGAAAUGCGUAGAUAUCUGGAGGAACACCGGUGGCGAAGGCGGCGUCCUGGACCAACACUGACACUGAGGAGCGAAAGCCAGGGGAGCAAACGGG